UACGUAGGGUGCGAGCGUUGUCCGGAAUUAUUGGGCGUAAAGAGCUCGUAGGCGGUCUGUCGCGUCGAAUGUGAAAACCCGGGGCUCAACUCCGGGCUUGCAUUCGAUACGGGCAGACUAGAGUUCGGUAGGGGAGACUGGAAUUCCUGGUGUAGCGGUGGAAUGCGCAGAUAUCAGGAGGAACACCAAUAGCGAAGGCAGCUCGCUGGGACGUUACUGACACUGAGGCGCGAAAGCGUGGGGAGCGAACAGG
rnacentral:rRNA from 1 species